rnacentral:rRNA from 1 species
GGUAAUACGUAGGUGGCAAGCGUUAUCCGGAAUUAUUGGGCGUAAAGCGCGCGCAGGUGGUUUCUUAAGUCUGAUGUGAAAGCCCACGGCUCAACCGUGGAGGGUCAUUGGAAACUGGGAGACUUGAGUGCAGAAGAGGAAAGUGGAAUUCCAUGUGUAGCGGUGAAAUGCGUAGAGAUAUGGAGGAACACCAGUGGCGAAGGCGACUUUCUGGUCUGUAACUGACACUGAGGCGCGAAAGCGUGGGGAGCAAAC